AACAAGCAGAUCUUAAGUAACUAACCUUAUCAAAGAUUAAGAGACGGCAUCGUUGAGUUUGAGCCUCUUUAAGCGAUUGAUUGGUUUUUCACUGCCAGUAUAGUGCAAAGCCAUUGAUCAUUUAUUCAUGUGUUUGUCGUUGCAGAGAGGUACCUCUCUUUUCCGGCUUUGACUCUUCAACAGUGCAGCUCCACUUUAAAUUUUCUCCGGUAUAGUUUCUUUGCAUCAUUUUAAGUCUUUUACUGCGCCAAAAAUUGUUAUGAUUCUAGCAUUUGCUAUUGUUGUGUGUACUGCAUAUGCCUGUCCGGCUAAUGAAGAAAGAAACCAAGGUUAAAGACCAUUCUCAAAGUUUCUCAGGUUAGUCUAACCUAUUUUUUUCCCUGUUUAAUUAUCUGUAUGGACAUUUAUCGUUUUCUGUGUAGGAUUUUUCCUUCUUUGAGUUCUCACUACUCUACAAAACGAUAAUGGCGAAUCUUAUUUAAUCCCUUAGUUACUUCAAACUUCUGUUUGCCGGAUGUAAGAUUUGUAAGGCAUUUAUGCUAUUGAAAUUAUAUAAAUAAUAAAUUCUGAACA